GUAGGUGGCAAGCGUUGUCCGGAAUUAUUGGGCGUAAAGCGCGCGCAGGCGGUUCUUUAAGUCUGAUGUGAAAGCCCACGGCUCAACCGUGGAGGGUCAUUGGAAACUGGAGAACUUGAGUACAGAAGAGGAAAGCGGAAUUCCACGUGUAGCGGUGAAAUGCGUAGAGAUGUGGAGGAACACCAGUGGCGAAGGCGGCUUUCUGGUCUGUAACUGACGCUGAGGCGCGAAAGCGUGGGGAGCAAACAGGAUUAGAUACCCUGGUAGUCCACGCCGUAAACGAUGAGUGCUAAGUGUUAGGGGGUUUCCGCCCCUUAGUGCUGCAGCUAACGCAUUAAGCACUCCGCCUGGGGAGUACGGCCGCAAGGCUG
rnacentral:rRNA from 1 species